GGAAAACUCAAAAUUGAGGUCAUCGUGAAAAUUUCUAAAAAAUGGCGAAGUCCGGUUGCUGGUAAAAAGCUAAAUCAAAUUCAAUUAUAAAACAUUUGUUUAUAACAUUAUGGGUUUUGCAGAUUUAAAAAAAAAAACAAAAUACAUUCUGAAAAGUAUUUUUUUCGCUUCUUCUUCUUCUUAUUGUCAUUAGUGUUCAUUCAGCACUCCCACAGUUAUAAACUGCGAGGUUUCUAAGCCAAGUUACCAUUUAUGCAUUCAUAUAUCAUGAGGCUAACACGAUGAUACUUCCAUGCCCAGGGAAGUCGAGACAAUUUCCAAACCGAAAAUUGCCUAGACCGGCAUCGGGAAUCGAACCCAGCCACCCUCAGCAUGGUCUUGCCUUUCAGCUGGGCAUCUUACCGCUAGGCUAAGGAGGGCCCCUGCAGCUGCUCACAUCGGAUUUCUGCAUCAGCCUGAAUAUCAGGUUCUGAGGGCUUCAGAUACAGAUACUGGAUACUGCUUCUGGGGAUUGGGACACGUUUCGUAGCGCCAAACAUCAUGCUCCAGAAAUUA